rnacentral:rRNA from 1 species
UAGCAUAUCAAUAAGCGGAGGAAAAGAAACCAACAGGGAUUGCCCUAGUAACGGCGAGUGAAGCGGCAACAGCUCAAAUUUGAAAUCUGGCUUCGGCCCGAGUUGUAAUUUGCAGAGGAUGUUUCUGGCGCGGUGCCUUCCGAGUUCCCUGGAACGGGACGCCACAGAGGGUGAGAGCCCCGUAUGGUUGGAUACUAAGCCUGUGUGAAACUCCUUCAACGAGUCGAGUAGUUUGGGAAUGCUGCUCAAAAUGGGAGGUAAAUCUCUUCUAAAGCUAAAUAUUGGCCAGAGACCGAUAGCGCACAAGUAGAGUGAUCGAAAGAUGAAAAGCACCUUGAAAAGGGGGUUAAACAGUACGUGAAAUUGUUGAAAGGGAAGCGCUCAUGACCAGACUUGUGCUGGGCAGCUCAUCCGGGGUUCUCCCCGGUGCACUCUGCCCAGUUCAGGCCAGCAUCGAUUUUUGCUGGGGGAUAAGAACGGUAGGAACGUGGCCCUCCUUCGGGUGGGUGUUAUAGCCUACCGUACGAUACCCUGGUGGAGAUCGAGGUUCGCGCAUCUGCAAGGAUGCUGGCGUAAUGGUCAUCAGCGACCCGUCUUGAAACACGGACCAAGGAGUCGUCCAUUAGAGCGAGCGUUUGGGUGUAAAACCCGCACGCGUAAUGAAAGUGAAAUUAGGUGAGAGCUUCGGCGCAUCAUCGACCGAUCCUGAUGUUCUCGGAUGGAUUUGAGUAAGAGUUUUAACGGACGGACCCGAAAGACAGUGAACUAUGCUUGUAUAGGGUGAAGCCAGAGGAAACUCUGGUGGAGGCUCGCAGCGGUUCUGACGUGCAAAUCGAUCGUCAAAUAUGAGCAUGGGGGCGAAAGACUAA